rnacentral:rRNA from 1 species
GAUGAACGCUGGCGGCGUGCCUAAUACAUGCAAGUCGAGCGAAUGGAUUAAGAGCUUGCUCUUAUGAAGUUAGCGGCGGACGGGUGAGUAACACGUGGGUAACCUGCCCAUAAGACUGGGAUAAUUCCGGGAAACCGGGGCUAAUACCGGAUAAUAUUUUGAACUGCAUGGUUCAAAAUUGAAAGGCGGCUUCGGCUGUCACUUAUGGAUGGACCCGCAUCGCAUUAGCUAGUUGGUGAGGUAACGGCUCACCAAGGCAACGAUGCGUAGCCGACCUGAGAGGGUGAUCGGCCACACUGGGACUGAGACACGGCCCAGACUCCUACGGGAGGCAGCAGUAGGGAAUCUUCCGCAAUGGACGAAAGUCUGACGGAGCAACGCCGCGUGAGUGAUGAAGGCUUUCGGGUCGUAAAACUCUGUUGUUAGGGAAGAACAAGUGCUAGUUGAAUAAGCUGGCACCUUGGCGGUACCUAACCAGAAAGCCACGGCUAACUACGUGCCAGCAGCCGCCCGUAA